AUCGAACGCUGGCGGCAGGCCUAACACAUGCAAGUCGAGCGAGCGGCGGACGGGUGAGUAAUGUAUGGGGACUGCCCGAUAGAGGGGGAUAACUACUGGAAACGGUGGCUAAUACCGCAUACUGUCGGAUAACCCAUAUGGGAUUAGCUAGUAGGUUGGGUAAAGGCUGACCUAGGCGACGAGCCCUAGCUGGUCGUAGAGGAUGAUCAGCCACACGGUGACUGGAACACGGCCCAGACUCCUACGGAGGCAGCAGUGGGGAAUAUUGCACAAUGGGCGCAAGCCUGAUGCAGCCAGGCCGCGUGUAUGAAGAAGGCCUUAGGGUUGUAAAGUACUUGCAGCGGGGAGGCGUUACCCGCAGAAGAAGCACCGGCUAACUCCGUGCCAGCAGCCGCGGUAAUUC
rnacentral:rRNA from 1 species